rnacentral:rRNA from 1 species
ACGGGUGAGUAACGCGUGGGAACGUACCUAAUGGUUCGGAAUAACGUUUGGAAACGAACGCUAAUACCGGAUAAGCCCUGAGGGGGAAAGAUUUAUCGCCAUAAGAGCGGCCCGCGUUAGAUUAGGUAGUUGGUAGGGUAAAGGCCUACCAAGCCGACGAUCUAUAGCUGGUUUGAGAGGAUGAUCAGCCACACUGGGACUGAGACACGGCCCAGACUCCUACGGGAGGCAGCAGUGGGGAAUAUUGGACAAUGGGGGCAACCCUGAUCCAGCAAUGCCGCGUGAGUGAAGAAGGCCUUCGGGUUGUAAAGCUCUUUUAUCAGGGACGAUAAUGACGGUACCUGAGGAAUAAGCUCCGGCUAACUUCGUGCCAGCAGCCGCGGUAAUACGAAGGGAGCUAGCGUUGUUCGGAAUUACUGGGCGUAAAGGGCGCGUAGGCGGUCAACUAAGUCAGAUGUGAAAGCCUUGGGCUUAACCUGAGAACGGCAUUUGAUACUGGUUAACUAGAGGACGAGAGAGGAAAGUGGAAUUACGAGU